UACGUAGGGUCCAAGCGUUAUCCGGAAUCACUGGGCGUAAAGCGUGCGUAGGUGGCGCGUUAAGUGAGAUGUUAAAUCGUGGGGCUCAACCCCUGUCGGUGCAUCUCAUACUGGCGUGCUAGAGGACAGCAGAGGCAAGUGGAAUUAGCAGUGUAGCAGUGAAAUGCGUAGAUAUUGCUAGGAACACCAAUGGCGAAGGCAGCUUGCUGGGCUACUCCUGACACUGAGGUACGAAAGCGUGGGGAGCGAACAGG
rnacentral:rRNA from 1 species